rnacentral:rRNA from 1 species
ACGUAGGUGGCAAGCGUUGUCCGGAUUUACUGGGUGUAAAGGGCGCGUAGGCGGGAUAGCAAGUCAGGUGUGAAAUCCGGGGGCUUAACCCUCGAACUGCACUUGAAACUGUUAUUCUUGAGUGAUGGAGAGGCAAGCGGAAUUCCUAGUGUAGCGGUGAAAUGCGUAGAUAUUAGGAGGAACACCAGUGGCGAAGGCGGCUUGCUGGACAUUAACUGACGCUGAGGCGCGAAAGCGUGGGGAGCAAACAG